UUCGGUAGAGUGAAACUGCGGAUAGCUCAUUAAAUCGCCUCUAUUUUGUUUGAUAGUCCUCCACUGGAUAUCCGUGGAAAAUCUAGAGCCAAUACUUGCACUGAUAUCUAACAAGCUAAUGCUUCUUGUUAGAUGCAUUUAUUGGAUAUCCGAUCGCUCACAUUGCGAGCGUUAGGUGAUUCUAAAUGACUUUGCUGAUCGUAUGGCCUUGUGCCGACGACAGAUCAAACAAGAUCGCGCCCUAUCAAUUUGUUGUUAGGAUAUUUUCCUAACAAG
rnacentral:rRNA from 1 species